UUGGCUCUUGUAACUUCUCUCAGGGAC
rnacentral:piRNA from 1 species